CUCUGCUUUUCAGCUUCUUGGCACUGAUCUGUUGUUUCCUGCCCACAGCUGAAGCUCUUAAAUGCCGUGUCUGCUCAGAACACAAUCUGCUUUGGGGCUGCAUCAGAGGAGCAGACUAUUGCUAUGCUUUACCUGGACAACAGUGCAGAACUACCAAAAUCAUGAGAAAAAGACGAAAACCUUAUCGAACCAAAGGAUGCACCCUGCAGGGGGAAAGAUGCAAUGUGAC